rnacentral:sRNA from 1 species
GCUGGGUGUGGUGGCGCACACCUGUAACCCCAGUGGCUUGGGAGGCGGAGGCAGGAGGAUUGCAAGUUCAAAGCCAGCCUCAGCAAGAGGCACUAAGGAAUUCAGUGAGACCCUGUCUCUA